rnacentral:rRNA from 1 species
CAGCCGCCGCGGGAAUACGUAGGUGGCAAGCGUUGUCCGGAAUUAUUGGGCGUAAAGGGCUCGCAGGCGGUUUCUUAAGUCUGAUGUGAAAGCCCCCGGCUCAACCGGGGAGGGUCAUUGGAAACUGGGAAACUUGAGUGCAGAAGAGGAGAGUGGAAUUCCACGUGUAGCGGUGAAAUGCGUAGAGAUGUGGAGGAACACCAGUGGCGAAGGCGACUCUCUGGUCUGUAACUGACGCUAAGGAGCGAAAGCGCGGGGAGCGAACAGGAUUAGAUACCCCUGUAGUCCCUGUCUCUUAUAC